rnacentral:rRNA from 1 species
ACCCCUGUGACAUACCUUAUGUUGCCUCGGCGGAUCAGCCCGCGCCCCGUAAAAAGGGACGGCCCGCCGCAGGAACCCUAAACUCUGUUUUUAGUGGAACUUCUGAGUAUAAAAAACAAAUAAAUCAAAACUUUCAACAACGGAUCUCUUGGUUCUGGCAUCGAUGAAGAACGCAGCAAAAUGCGAUAAGUAAUGUGAAUUGCAGAAUUCAGUGAAUCAUCGAAUCUUUGAACGCACAUUGCGCCCGCCAGUAUUCUGGCGGGCAUGCCUGUUCGAGCGUCAUUUCAACCCUCAAGCCCAGCUUGGUGUUGGGAGCUGCAGUCCUGCUGCACUCCCCAAAUACAUUGGCGGUCACGUCGAGCUUCCAUAGCGUAGUAAUUUACAUAUCGUUACUGGUAAUCGUCGCGGCCACGCCGUUAAACCCCAACUUCUGAAUGUUGACCUCGGAUCAGGUAGGAAUACCCGCUGAACUUAAGCAUAUC